GUCAACGGUCAUACCACGCUGAAAACACCAGUUCUCGUCCGAUCACUGCAGUUAAGCAGCAUUGGGCACGGUUAGUACUUGGAUGGGUGACCAC
rnacentral:rRNA from 1 species